AUUGAACGCUGGCGGCAGGCCUAACACAUGCAAGUCGAACGGUAACAGGAAGCAGCUUGCUGCUUUGCUGACGAGUGGCGGACGGGUGAGUAAUGUCUGGGAAACUGCCUGAUGGAGGGGGAUAACUACUGGAAACGGUAGCUAAUACCGCAUAACGUCGCAAGACCAAAGAGGGGGACCUUCGGGCCUCUUGCCAUCGUAUGUGCCCAGAUGGGAUUAGCUAGUAGGUGGGGUAACGGCUCACCUAGGCGACGAUCCCUAGCUGGUCUGAGAGGAUGACCAGCCACACUGGAACUGAGACACGGUCCAGACUCCUACGGGAGGCAGCAGUGGGGAAUAUUGCACAAUGGGCGCAAGCCUGAUGCAGCCAUGCCGCGUGUAUGAAGAAGGCCUUCGGGUUGUAAAGUACUUUCAGCGGGGAGGAAGGGAGUAAAGUUAAUACCUUGGCUCAUUGACGUUACCCGAAGAAGAAGCACCGGCUAACUCCGUG
rnacentral:rRNA from 1 species